CCUACGGGAGGCAGCAGUAGGGAAUAUUGCUCAAUGGGGGAAACCCUGAAGCAGCAACGCCGCGUGGAGGAUGAAGGUUUUAGGAUUGUAAACUCCUUUUGUUAGAGAAGAUAAUGACGGUAUCUAACGAAUAAGCACCGGCUAACUCCGUGCCAGCAGCCGCGGGAAUACGGAGGGUGCAAGCGUUACUCGGAAUCACUGGGCGUAAAGAGCGCGUAGGCGGGAUAGCAAGUCAGAUGUGAAAUCCUAUGGCUUAACCAUAGAACUGCCGUUGAAACUGUUAUUCUAGAGUAUGGGAGAGGUAGGUGGAAUGCUUGGUGUAGGGGUAAAAUCCAUAGAGAUCAAGAGGAAUACUCAUUGCGAAGGCGACCUGCUAGAACAUAACUGACGCUGAUGCGCGAAAGCGUGGGGAGCAAACAGGAUUAGAUACCCCUGUAGUC
rnacentral:rRNA from 1 species